rnacentral:rRNA from 1 species
AUUGAACGCUGGCGGCAUGCCUUACACAUGCGAGUCGAACGGCAGCACGGGUGCUGGCACCUGGUGGCGAGUGGCGAACGGGGGAGUAAUACAUCUGAACAUGUCCUUUAGUUGGGGAUAGCCCGGAGAAAGCCGGACUAAUACCGCAUACGAUCCACGCAUGAAAGCGGAGGCACUUCAGGCCUCGACCUAUCGCGAUUGCCGAUGGCGGAUUAGCUAGUUGGUGGGGUAAAGGCCAACCAAGGCGACGAUCAGUAGCUGGUCUGAGAGGACGACCAGCCACACUGGGACUGAGACACGGCCCAGACUCCUACGGGAGGCAGCAGUGGGGAAUUUUGGACAAUGGGCGAAAGCCUGAUCCAGCAAUGCCGCGUGUGUGAAGAAGGCCUUCGGGUUGUAAAGCCCUUUUGUUGGGAAAGAAAUCCUUGACUCUAAUACCGUGGGGGGAUGACGGUACCGGAAGAAUAAGCACCGGCUAACUACGUG